ensembl:snRNA U6 U6 spliceosomal RNA
GUGUUCUCUUGGGCAGCACAUAUACUAAAAAAUUGGAACAAUACAAAGAUUAGCAUGGCCCCUAUGGAAGGAUGACACACAAAUUCAUGACACAUUGCAUAUUUUA